AACCUGCGGAGGGAUCAUUACUGAGUGAGGGCCUUCGGGCUCGACCUCCAACCCUUUGUGAACACAACUUGUUGCUUCGGGGGCGACCCUGCCGUUUCGACGGCGAGCGCCCCCGGAGGCCUUCAAACACUGCAUCUUUGCGUCGGAGUUUAAGUAAAUUUAAACAAAACUUUCAACAACGGAUCUCUUGGUUCUGGCAUCGAUGAAGAACGCAGCGAAAUGCGAUAAGUAAUGUGAAUUGCAGAAUUCAGUGAAUCAUCGAAUCUUUGAACGCACAUUGCGCCCUCUGGUAUUCCGGAGGGCAUGCCUGUUCGAGCGUCAUUUCACCACUCAAGCCUGGCUUGGUAUUGGGCGCCGCGGUGUUCCGCGCGCCUCAAAGUCUCCGGCUGAGCUGUCCGUCUCCAAGCGUUGUGAUUUCAUUAAUCGCUUCGGAGUGCGGGUGGCCGCGGCCGUUAAAUCUUUCACAAGGUUGACCUCGGAUCAGGUAGGGAUACCCGCUGAACUUAAGCAUAUCAAUAAGGCGGAGGAA
rnacentral:rRNA from 1 species